UACGUAGGGUGCAAGCGUUUGUCCGGAAUUAUUGGGCGUAAAGAGCUCGUAGGUGGUCUGUCGCGUCGGCUGUGAAAACUCGGGGCUCAACCCCGAGCCUGCAGUCGAUACGGGCAGACUUGAGUGCGGUAGGGGAGACUGGAAUUCCUGGUGUAGCGGUGAAAUGCGCAGAUAUCAGGAGGAACACCGGCGGCGAAGGCGGGUCUCUGGGCCGUAACUGACACUGAGGAGCGAAAGCGUGGGGAGCGAACAGG
rnacentral:rRNA from 1 species